UACGUAGGUGGCAAGCGUUGUCCGGAUUUAUUGGGUUUAAAGGGUUCGUAGGCGGCUUUAUAAGUCAGUGCUGAAAUAUCCCGGCUUAACCGGGAGGGUGGCAUUGAUACUGCAGAGCUUGAGUGAAGUCGAGGUAGGCGGAAUUGACGGUGUAGCGGUGAAAUGCUUAGAUAUCGUCAAGAACACCGAUAGUGAAGACAGCUUACUAGACUUCAACUGACGCUGAGGCACGAAAGUGUGGGGAUCAAACAGG
rnacentral:rRNA from 1 species